rnacentral:rRNA from 1 species
AUUGAACGCUGGCGGCAGGCUUAACACAUGCAAGUCGAACGAGUGGCGGACGGGUGAGUAAUGCUUGGGAAUCUAGCUUAUGGAGGGGGAUAACUACGGGAAACUGUAGCUAAUACCGCGUACCAUAGGAUGAGCCCAUGUGGGAUUAGCUAGUUGGUGAGGUAAAGGCUCACCAAGCCGACGAUCUCUAGCUGGUCUGAGAGGAUGACCAGCCACACUGGGACUGAGACACGGCCCAGACUCCGACGGGAGGCAGCAGUGGGGAAUAUUGCGCAAUGGGGGCAAGCUGAUGCAGCCAUGCCGCGUGAAUGAAGAAGGCCUUCGGGUUGUAAAGUACUUUCGGUCGCGAGGCGUUAACUACAGAAGAAGCACCGGCUAACUCCGUGCCAGCAGCCGCGGUAAUAC